rnacentral:rRNA from 1 species
CCUACGGGUGGCAGCAGUGAGGAAUAUUGGUCAAUGGACGGAACUCUGAAGCAGCCACGCCGCGUGCAGGCAGACGGCUCUAUGAGUUUUAAACUCUUUUUGUACAAAAGUAAACCUGAAUACGUGACUUCAGCUGCUAGUACUGUACGAAUAAGCAUCGGCUAACUACGUGCCAGCAGCCGCGGUAAUACGGAGGCGCCAAUCGUUAUCCGGAUUUAUUGGGUGUAAUGGGUGCGGAGGAGGAUUGAUAAGGUAGAGGUGAAAUGGCGGAGCUUAACUAUGGAACUGCCUUUAAUACUGUUGAUCUAGAGAGUAGGAGCGGUAGGUGGAAUGUAUGGUGUAGCGGUGAAAUGCUUAGAGAUUAUACAGAACACCGAUUGCGAAGGCAGCUUACCAAUCUAUAUCUGACGUUGAGGCACGAAAGCGUGGGGAGCAAACAGGAUUAGAUACCCGUGUAGUC